ensembl:lncRNA
CGCCUCUUAUGUCUUCACUUCUCCAUUUGAAACCAGCACGUCCUUGUUUUCCCACAUCCAGUGCAUACAGUAAAUACGUUUCCAAUCAAGGAUUCACAAGCACAGCCUGACUCAUGCGCCCGCCCAGACGCCUCACGCAGUUUUCUCUCCAGCUUGUCUUUUCAGAUCUGUGCGCGCAGGUAAUGCAAUGCUACCGCCCCCAGCAGCGAAUCCCACUGCACAUUUGCAUGCUUAAUUUCAUCGUAACUCUCUCUCUCUCUCUCUCUCUCUCUCUCUCUCUUGCACUCCUCAGCUCUAUGACUUCAUUUAUCAUAGCGGCUCUGGAACAUGUAAUGCAACACUUCCACUGCAGAUGCCCGAACUGUGUCCAUCAGCAGCUUGCAUGGUUAAUCUAUGUCCUUCACUCGAGCCAGAAGCGUCUGCUCUUGAAACAUGUCUUAACCGCUGGGAUGUCUUUUGCUCAAGUGAGCGAUUUUUCCAAUGUAAUGGACCCGGAACCCGUAGCUGUCAACAUCGUCCUUGGGAGCAAUGAUGCUUUGACACACGGUUUGGUCAUCACAAGCUGACCGUCUCCUAGGCCUUUUUUAUUCCACCAUAAAGCGCUUUGCAUCCGUCUCGCACGUCAUCUGGCAAAUUGCUCGUCCUCAUUUGACAAAGGCUAAAAAGAGACCAACCAGCAUAUAGAUGAAAGUAAUUGAGCUCAAAUCAUUCCAGCACUUUAUCUCGACUCCCUUAUGUGUCAAGAAAGUCACUGCCAUUUCUAUAA